rnacentral:rRNA from 1 species
GACGAACGCUGGCGGCAGGCUUAACACAUGCAAGUCGAGCGAGCGGCAGACGGGUGAGUAAUGUCUGGGAAACUGCCUGAUGGAGGGGGCUAACUACUGGAAAAGGUAGCUAAUACAGCAUACCAUCAGAUGUGCCCAGCUGAGAUUAGCUAGUAGGUGGGGUAAUGGCUCACCUAGGCGACAAUCCCUAGCUGGUCUGAGCGGAUGACCAGCCACACUGGAACUGAGAAACGGUCCAGACUCCGACGGGAGGCAGCAGUGGGGAAUAGUGCACAAUGGGCGCAAGCCUGAUGCAGCCAUGCCGCGUGGGUGAAGAAGGCCUUCGGGUUGUAAAGCACUUUCAGCGAGUAGGCGUUACUCGCAGAAGAAGCACCGGCUAACUCCGUGCCAGCAGCCGCGGGAAUAC